rnacentral:rRNA from 1 species
CCGACUGCUAUUUGGGUGAGAAUAAGCCAUGCGAGUUGAAUGGAAUCCCUAAAUUUUCCAUAGCAAACUGCUCAGUAACACAUGAUCAACUUGCCCUAUAGAGAAAAAUAACCUCGGGAAACUGAGGAUAAUAUUUCAUAGUUGAAAAGGCUUGGAAAAGUUUUUCAAUCAAAGGGAUAAGAAAAAUGGUUCUUAUCUGCUAUAGGAUAGGAUCGUGCUCGAUUAUGGUUGUUGGUGAGGUAAUGGCUCACCAAGCCGAUAAUCGAUAGGGGCCGUGAGAGCGGGAGCCCCGAGAUGGGUACUGAGACAACGACCCAGGUUCUACGGAACGCAGCAGGCGCGAAACCUCCGCAAUACACGAAAGUGUGACGGGGUUACCCAAAGUGUUCAAUUUUGAACUGUGGUAGGUGAGUAAUGUCCCCUACUAGAAAGGAGAGGGCAAGGCUGGUGCCAGCCGCCGCGGUAAAACCAGCUCUUCAAGUGGUCGGGAUAAUUAUUGGGCUUAAAGUGUCCGUAGCCGGUUUAGUAAGUUCCUGGUAAAAUCGGGUAGCUUAACUAUCUGUAUGCUAGGAAUACUGCUAUACUAGAGGGCGGGAGAGGUCUAAGGUACUACAGGGGUAGGGGUGAAA